rnacentral:lncRNA from 1 species
AUAUACUACGGCCUCAAGAGCAUAUCCCCAGAAGGAUAGCAGAAGAUUCGUGAAACACAUCAUGGACCGCACCAUAUCUAAUAAGGUGCGAUUCCUCCUUUCUACAAUUCUAUUUCAUUGUGAAGUAUAAGGAGGUAUCCACUGAGAGAGUAUUUUAUUUUAUUUUAAAUGAUCAAGAAACUCACUAAACAAAUAUUCUCCUCCUUGAUCAGAUCGAAGAGCUUUAAUACUUUUAUCAGUUUGUCUCUCAACAAUACUUUGAUACUUUUUAAAUUUAUCAAAGGCUUCAAAUUUGUAUUUCAUUAAAUACACAUAUCCAAACCUAGACCUAUCAUCAGUAAAUGUGAUGAAGUAAGAACAUCCACCUCUAGCUUGAGUCAAUAUUGGACCACAUACAUCAGUAUGUACAAAGUCUAAUAUGUCACUUGCCCUUUUUUUUAUGUCCAGUAAAUGGAGUCUUGGUCAUUUUAUCCAUGAGGUAAGAUUUACAAGUUCCAUAUGAUUCAUAAUCAUAAGAACCAAAGAAUUUAUCUUUGUAUAACUUGUUAAUUCUCGACUCAUUUAUAUGGCUAAGUCGAUAGUGCCAGAAGUAUGCGACAUUCACAUCCUCUCUCUUUUUUUUUUUCAUAUUAUCAAUAUGAAAUACAUUAUCAUUAAGUGAAAGAAACAAAAGACCAUUAUCAACAUAAGCACUCCCAUAAUAUUUAUUAGAAAAAUAUAUAGAACAACCAUUGUUCUUUACAUUUAUUUCAAAAUCUUGUUCCAAUAAUAAUGGUACAGAAACAAUAUUUCUAACAAUAUUAGGGAUAUAAAAAUAGAUCUUCAGUUCCAAAACUUUAUCUGAAAGCAACUUUAAAACCCCGAUUCCUAUGGCUUCGGCCUGUAUAGACUCUCCACUGGUGUCGAACAGCUCGAAGUCACCUUUAUUCAGACUCUUUAUUUCCUGUAGACCUGCAACGAUUUGCAAAGGUGUGAGCCACAGGCAGUAUCUAAUAUCCAAGAAUCUGAAAAUGAAGUACUUAAAGAUAAGUUAGUUUAUAUCAUAUACAAACCUUUAGCAACAUUUGUCGGUUUCACAGUUGCAAGGUACUCCUUGCAAUUUCUCUUUCAGUGGCUCUUCUUGCCACAGUCAUAGCAAGUACCUUUGGCGGAGAUCUUCUUCGCCUUCUUUUUGGAUAUGCCAGCCUUAGGAUUCAUCUUUUUCUUAAAAUCUUUCUUUGCCUUCUUCUUGUUGAUCUUAUCAACAAGAAGUACCAGAGCCUUUUCACCCUUGAAAUGGCUCUCUGCUAUCUUUAGCAUGUUCAGCAGCUCAGGCAGGCUGAUGUUCAGUUUGUUCAUAUGAUAAUUUAUAACAAACUGAGAAAAAGAGUUAGAGAGAGACUACAGGAUCAAAUCCUGGCUCAGUUCCCCAUUUAUGGCAAAGUCCAGUUAUCCCAGAUGAGUGAUCAAAUCAAUCAUCUUCAGGAUAUGCAUUUGCACAGAGGUGCUUUCAAUCAUGCGGGCAUGGAAUAACUGCUUUGAUAUCUCAUAUCAAGCAAUUCGACUUUGUUCUCCAUUUAACUCCUUAAGAUUAAGGAGUAUAGAAAGAACAUCCAUGUCCUCAUACUACCUCAGAAGAUCGUUGCUCAUGAAGACAAGCAUGAUACAUUUGACAGUCAUACUAUCAUCUUUUCAUAUCUUGUAUGUGACUCUUUCCUCCUUGGAAGCAUCUUUCCCAAGAAAAUCUAGUGCAGGUGUGUCCAGAAUAUAGGAGACUUUCUCCAGAGUGAGAACAAUUCUCAGGUUCCUUAACCAGUCUAUGUAGUUAGGUUCGAUCAAUUUGUUUGUAUCUAGGAUGUCUCUAAGUGACAAUGAUGAUGCCAUAUGUGUAGUUAAUCUACAAUAACAAAUUACAAUAUAAGUGGAUGACUCAUGAUGACAUCCACAACUAGAUUAAAAUUUUUGUCUAAUUAUGUCUCCCAUUAUUUUAUCGAACUUCAUAGCCCUCAUCUAUGAAAAUCAAGAAACAUACUAAUAUUUCUUAGUGAGAUUGAGAUCCCUAUUCCUCACAAACACCUUAUGGAUAGCACAACAAGUAUUCAUAGGUUCAAGAGUAGGUAACUCUUUACCAAUUGUACCUCUACAAUUCUCAAUAUUUUUCUUUCUGAUCUUUAGAUCACAUAUAGCCUUGUGGAUAGCACAACAAACUAUAGUUCUCUAAUUAAGUUGACCUUUCAAUCCCAUAUGAUCAUACUUAAAUAAUGUUGUCCUUAUAAAUAGCACAACAAAGCAAUACAAUUCAAAAUAUGCUAUAAGCAUCAAAAUAUACUUGAUCAACANNNNNNNNNNNNNNNNNNNNUUUUAGGAGACAUCUUCUUAGAGAGCUGUAUGCCAUGACCUAUGGGCAAGUAACCUUUUUUACUUUCCUCUAUGUUGAACCUCUUCAACACAAGGUCAAUAUACCUAGAUUGGGACAAGCCUAACAUCUUUUUUGAUCUAUCCCUAUAGAUCUUUAUACCAAGUAUAUAGAAUGCUUCACCCAAGUCUUUCAUAGAAAACUUUUGUGAUAGCCAAGUCUUGACCGAUUGCAACAUCGGGAUAUCAUUCCCAAUGAUAGUAUGUCAUCCACGUACAAGACUAAGAAGACAAUAGUACUCCCACUAGUCUUCUUUACACACAAAGUUCAUCCAUAUUUUUGAUGAAGCUAAAUGAUUUGACUGUCUCAUCAAAAUACAUGUUCCAGCUACUCGAUGCUUGCUUUAAUCCAUAAAUGGAUCUAUUCAGUUUGCAUACCUCAUUUGCUCUCCUACUAGAGACAAAUUCCUCUGGAUGAGUCAUAUAGACUUCUUCCUUAAGAUUUUCAUUGAGGAAAGUAGUCUUGACAUCCAUCUGCUAGAUCUCAUAGUCAUGGUAUGCUGUAAUAGCAAGCAUUAUCUGAAUAGACUUGAGCAUGGCUACCGGUGAAAAGAUUUCUUCAUAAUCAAUACCUUAUUUUUAUCUGAAACCUCUUACCACCAGCCUGACCUUAUAGGUCUCUACCUGGCCAUCUGCUCCAAUCUCCUUUUUGAAGAUCCAUUUGCAGCCUAUUGGGGUCACACCCUCAAGCACAUCAAUCAAAAUUCAAACUUGGUUGGUAUACAUGGAGUCCAUUUCGGAUUUCAUGGUAUUGAGCUAUUUGUCAGAGUUACUACUCAUGACAGCUUUCGAAUAGAUCAUAGGAUCAUCAUUCUCAAUGAUGUGGGAUGUAUUAUCAUUCUCAAUGACAAAUCUAUACCUAAGUGGUACAUUACGCACUCUACUUGACCUUUGAAGAGGAGGUGUAUGUAGUGGCUAUACCUCAACUAUGGGCACAUCUAGUUGAGAAACAGUUUGUGAAUCCUGGAUGGAUUGUAGGUUUCGAACUUUCUCAAGUUCAACCAUCCUUCCACUGCCUCCUUCUUGAAUAAACUCUUUCUCCAAGAAAACAGCAUGCCUACCAACAAACACCUUUUGUUGAGUAAGGUUAUAGAAGUAGUAUCCUAUAUUCUCUUUGGGAUAACUUACAAACCUGUAUUUUUCUGAUCUAGAAUCUAGCUUAUGUCCAUCAACAUUUUUCACAUAAGCUGGGCAAUCCCAAAUCUUAAGAUGCUUAAGAUUAAGUUUUUUUCAUUUCUAUAUUUCAUAUGGAAUGCUAGAAAUAGAUUUAGAAGAUAUUUUAUUUAAGAUAUAUACUACGGCCUCAAGAGCAUAUCCCCAGAAGAAUAGCAGAAGAUUCAUGAAACACAUCAUGGACCGCACCAUAUCUAAUAAGGUGCGAUUCCUCCUUUCUACAAUUCUAUUUCAUUGUGAAGUAUAAGGAGGUAUCCACUGAGAGAGUAUUCUAUUUUAUUUUAAAUGAUCAAGAAACUCACUAAACAAAUAUUCUCCUCCU